AAAUUGAAGAGUUUGAUCAUGGCUCAGAUUGAACGCUGGCGGCAGGCCUAACACAUGCAAGUCGAGCGGUAGCACAGAGAGCUUGCUCUCGGGUGACGAGCGGCGGACGGGUGAGUAAUGUCUGGGAAACUGCCUGAUGGAGGGGGAUAACUACUGGAAACGGUAGCUAAUACCGCAUAACGUCGCAAGACCAAAGUGGGGGACCUUCGGGCCUCAUGCCAUCAGAUGUGCCCAGAUGGGAUUAGCUAGUAGGUGGGGUAACGGCUCACCUAGGCGACGAUCCCUAGCUGGUCUGAGAGGAUGACCAGCCACACUGGAACUGAGACACGGUCCAGACUCCUACGGGAGGCAGCAGUGGGGAAUAUUGCACAAUGGGCGCAAGCCUGAUGCAGCCAUGCCGCGUGUGUGAAGAAGGCCUUCGGGUUGUAAAGCACUUUCAGCGGGGAGGAAGGCGUUAAGGUUAAUAACCUCAUCGAUUGACGUUACCCGCAGAAGAAGCACCGGCUAACUCCGUGCCAGCAGCCGCGGUAAUACGGAGGGUGCAAGCGUUAAUCAGAAUUACUGGGCGUAAAGCGCACGCAGGCGGUCUGUCAAGUCGGAUGUGAAAUCCCCGGGCUCAACCUGGGAACUGCAUUCGAAACUGGCAGGCUAGAGUCUUGUAGAGGGGGGUAGAAUUCCAGGUGUAGCGGUGAAAUGCGUAGAGAUCUGGAGGAAUACCGGUGGCGAAGGCGGCCCCCUGGACAAAGACUGACGCUCAGGUGCGAAAGCGUGGGGAGCAAACAGGAUUAGAUACCCUGGUAGUCCACGCCGUAAACGAUGUCGAUUUGGAGGUUGUGCCCUUGAGGCGUGGCUUCCGGAGCUAACGCGUUAAAUCGACCGCCUGGGGAGUACGGCCGCAAGGUUAAAACUCAAAUGAAUUGACGGGGGCCCGCACAAGCGGUGGAGCAUGUGGUUUAAUUCGAUGCAACGCGAAGAACCUUACCUGGUCUUGACAUCCACAGAACUUAGCAGAGAUGCUUUGGUGCCUUCGGGAACUGUGAGACAGGUGCUGCAUGGCUGUCGUCAGCUCGUGUUGUGAAAUGUUGGGUUAAGUCCCGCAACGAGCGCAACCCUUAUCCUUUGUUGCCAGCGGUCCGGCCGGGAACUCAAAGGAGACUGCCAGUGAUAAACUGGAGGAAGGUGGGGAUGACGUCAAGUCAUCAUGGCCCUUACGACCAGGGCUACACACGUGCUACAAUGGCAUAUACAAAGAGAAGCGACCUCGCGAGAGCAAGCGGACCUCAUAAAGUAUGUCGUAGUCCGGAUUGGAGUCUGCAACUCGACUCCAUGAAGUCGGAAUCGCUAGUAAUCGUAGAUCAGAAUGCUACGGUGAAUACGUUCCCGGGCCUUGUACACACCGCCCGUCACACCAUGGGAGUGGGUUGCAAAAGAAGUAGGUAGCUUAACCUUCGGGAGGGCGCUUACCACUUUGUGAUUCAUGACUGGGGUGAAGUCGUAACAAGGUAACCGUAGGGGAACCUGCGGUUGGAUCACCUCCUUA
rnacentral:rRNA from 1 species